rnacentral:rRNA from 1 species
GACGAACGCUGGCGGCGUGCUUAACACAUGCAAGUCGAACGGAAAGGCCCUGCUUUUGUGGGGUGCUCGAGUGGCGAACGGGUGAGUAACACGUGAGUAACCUGCCCUUGACUUUGGGAUAACUUCAGGAAACUGGGGCUAAUACCGGAUAGGAGCUCCUGCUGCAUGGUGGGGGUUGGAAAGUUUCGGCGGUUGGGGAUGGACUCGCGGCUUAUCAGCUUGUUGGUGGGGUAGUGGCUUACCAAGGCUUGGACGGGUAGCCGGCCUGAGAGGGUGACCGGCCACAUUGGGACUGAGAUACGGCCCAGACUCCUACGGGAGGCAGCAGUGGGGAAUAUUGCACAAUGGGCGGAAGCCUGAUGCAGCAACGCCGCGUGCGGGAUGACGGCCUUCGGGUUGUAAACCGCUUUCGCCUGUGACGAAGCGUGAGUGACGGUAAUGGGUAAAGAAGCACCGGCUAACUACG